rnacentral:lncRNA from 1 species
UUAUGUACGUAGUGAUCGAACGAAGAGUGAAUCCAGCUAGUAGUUCCACGACUAUUAAUCCAAUCCAAUCCAAUCCAAUCCAAUCCAAUCCAUUCCCCCUCCCCCUCUUGCAUCGUAAAAUUAACUGCAAUUGAAAAUCGUGGGCGUAAUCUCUUGGUUUCCUGCAAAAAUCUCUACUCCUACCUUCAUCCUCCUAAUUAAUUCCCAACAAUCCGUGCAAUGUGUUUGGCUUUCCUCGUUGAAUCAAACAUCCCCAAUCGCUGAGCUGUCGGUCCAACCCACUAACAAUUCUCAAUCAUUUCACCGCCACCUAUCCUAUACCCCAAUUACGACUACCACACACACGCACAGUUAAUUUUACAUCAUCUAAUUUUCCCGGGAAAUAUUUAAUUUAACUAGGUGUUGGUUUUUAAAUUGUUAGUUAAAUAGUAGUAUUUUAGGCACCCCCAUCUAUUUAAUUUGUCACCUAAUAUUCGUAUCCGUAUUUGUCACUAGCUCACCCACCCAGCCCUGUUAUAAAUAAAUCAAGUUAAUUGAGAGGUGAGGUAGUAGGAAAUCAAAUAAAUGGGAAAGGCGUACUUAACGAGUUAUUCUUUAAAGCCAAUUUUGAUGUUGUCUAUAGCUUUGAAUGUGUGUUUCAUAUCCAGAUUAAUAAUUGUUUAUGAGGAGGGAGAUGAAGUAAUUAGCGUCAAUACUACUGCUACUGGCUUCUGUUUAAAGGAGGAGCAGGAGGCAACCACGAACAGAGAUUCUUCUUCUCCUUCUUCGACCGCGGCCGAUAAUAAUUGUUCAGGAAAGCAGCAAGCGCAUGUUAGCACGACGAGGAGGAGGAGGAGGAGGACACUUACG